CUCUAGUCAUUAUAUAGGUUAAAAAAAACUUGCAAAAUUUGUAAAUGGUGAAUGAAUAAAACACUAAGUAGAGAAGGGAGAGGAAAGAAAUUAAAGCUAUUGAUACAUAGAUAGAUCAAGUACAUAAAUCAACAAUCAUCAGUCGCAUGAAUAAAUGGCACAACAAAAUAAGCAUACAAAAUCUAAAACGCCCAAUAGUGUGAAUAUGUGACAAGACUAACCUUCCCAGGGUGAUUGUACAAAGAUGAUAGAUCAAAGAACAGAGAGGGAACGCCUUAGAAACAACUGUAAUAAAUACCAAAAUCUAUUAGUUAUUGAUUUGGAAUAGACAAUUGUAAUAAAUACCAAGUUCAACAAUUUUAAUGACUACCAAAUUUUUUUUCAUUACCUUAAAACUGACCAGAUUUUCUACUUGCAGUGGUUGAGUUUUUUGUACCUUCUUUGGGAGCACUAACUGGAAGAGAAGAAAUAAUGUAUCUACAGAAUGCAGAACAACGAUUAAUGAUAAGCUCACAUAUCAAUCUGCAUAAAAGCUUAUUUCACUAUUGUAUGAAGCACCAACAAGAGCAUCAUACUUUACCUCAUCACUUGUUCAUGACUAAAAAUGGUUAACUCUUGCAAAU
rnacentral:lncRNA from 1 species